rnacentral:rRNA from 1 species
GAUGAACGCUGGCGGCGUGCCUAAUACGUGCAAGUCGAGCGAACGGACGAGAAGCUUGCUUCUCUGAUGUUAGCGGCGGACGGGUGAGUAACACGUGGAUAACCUACCCAUAAGACUGGGAUAACUUCGGGAAACCGGGGCUAAUACCGGAUAAUAUUUUGAACCGCAUGGUUCAAAAGUGAAAGACGGUCUUGUUGUCACUUAUGGAUGGAUCCGCGCUGCAUUAACUAGUUGGUAAGGUAACGGCUUACCAAGGCAACGAUGCAUAGCCGACCUGAGAGGGUGAUCGGCCACACUGGAACUGAGACACGGUCCAGACUCCUACGGGAGGCAGCAGUAGGGAAUCUUCCGCAAUGGGCGAAAGCCUGACGGAGCAACGCCGCGUGAGUGAUGAAGGUCUUCGGAUCGUAAAACUCUGUUAUUAGGGAAGAACAUAUGUGUAAGUAACUGUGCACAUCUUGACGGUACCUAAUCAGAAAGCCACGGCUAACUACGUGCCAGCAGCCGCGGUAAUACGUAGGUGGCAAGCGUUAUCCGGAAUUAUUGGGCGUAAAGCGCGCGUAGGCGGUCUUUUAAGUCUGAUGUGAAAGCCCACGGCUCAACCGUGGAGGGUCAUUGGAAACUGGAAAACUUGAGUGCAGAAGAGGAAAGUGGAAUUCCAUGUGUAGCGGUGAAAUGCGCAGAGAUAUGGAGGAACACCAGUGGCGAAGGCGACUUUCUGGUCUGUAACUGACGCUGAUGUGCGAAAGCGUGGGGAUCAAACAGGAUUAGAUACCCUGGUAGUCCACGCCGUAAACGAUGAGUGCUAAGUGUUAGGGGGUUUCCGCCCCUUAGUGCUGCAGCUAACGCAUUAAGCACUCCGCCUGGGGAGUACGACCGCAAGGUUGAAACUCAAAGGAAUUGACGGGGACCCGCACAAGCGGUGGAGCAUGUGGUUUAAUUCGAAGCAACGCGAAGAACCUUACCAAAUCUUGACAUCCUUUGACAACUCUAGAGAUAGAGCCUUCCCCUUCGGGGGACAAAGUGACAGGUGGUGCAUGGUUGUCGUCAGCUCGUGUCGUGAGAUGUUGGGUUAAGUCCCGCAACGAGCGCAACCCUUAAGCUUAGUUGCCAUCAUUAAGUUGGGCACUCUAAGUUGACUGCCGGUGACAAACCGGAGGAAGGUGGGGAUGACGUCAAAUCAUCAUGCCCCUUAUGAUUUGGGCUACACACGUGCUACAAUGGACAAUACAAAGGGCAGCGAAACCGCGAGGUCAAGCAAAUCCCAUAAAGUUGUUCUCAGUUCGGAUUGUAGUCUGCAACUCGACUACAUGAAGCUGGAAUCGCUAGUAAUCGUAGAUCAGCAUGCUACGGUGAAUACGUUCCCGGGUCU